UUUUACGUAUUUUAUUUUUUACCGCCAUCAAAGUUCGUAUGUUCACAGCAAAAAAGGCAGAUUGAAAAUAGUAUUUAAUGAGGAAAUAUGCGCAUUCAAAUGGGCUGAAAUCUUUGAGGAACCGUUUUGUCUGAAGUACGAGCCGAUAGUAAAAUCUACCCGAGUGUUCGUGAAUCCCGUCCGUUGCAGCAGCAAAAAGAGGACUACUUAGAGGCUCUACACUACCAUUCUAAUAACAUUCCUUCACGUCUAUAUCUAUGGAGAUCUAUAAGGAGAUCCUGAGAAGAAAGGGCCUUGGAUUUAUGAAUGUUUUCAGCUAUAAAAAUAAUUCACUUGUGUCGACGAGUUUCUUGCUAGCAGAAAGUCGACAAGUUCACAGUUUACAACAAAAAGCGAACACAACCACACAAGCGACAAACAGAAAGCGACAAAAAAAAACUGCCAAGGUACCAACCAAGGACUACCCGAGGGCCAUGAUUGAUGCUGAAGGCUGGGAGGCAUGAGAAUAGGCAAAUGUCUUAAAGAUAAUAAAGUAGGGAAUUUCUUACUUUGAUACAGCAGUAAAUGUGAAAUAGGCUUUUUUAAAGCAAAUACUUGCCCUCAAUGGUAAAUCUGAAAACAUUUUUUCUAUCAACCUAAAGAUAAUGAGGAAAGGGGAAAUGUUAGGAGAGUGCUCAACCAAGUUGUUGCAUUACUGAUGAUUAUUUUAUCAAAGCUAUAGUCCAAUUUCUUCCUUUUCUCUCUCUCUCUCUCUCUCUCU